GGGAAAUAAGAGCGAAUCUCGUUCAUUCUGGCAAUAUAAUGCUUAGUAGGAGAAGUGGGAUCAAGAUGGUCCAAACUGUUCCAAUCGUCCCUACAUGCCUCACUUGCAGGUCCAAAGUCUAAGUCAGUAUACUGAGUAGUGCCAAUUUGAUAACAGCCAUGCUUUUGCCAUCCAAUCGAAGAAGUAAUAGGCUGGCGACCGAAUAUAUAAUUUGCUGCUUGGUUAUCAAGUAAUUUGAGAUUUUGCUCUUCCCCAUAAUAAAUUAGAGGAAUACCGGGCAUAAGUAGGUGUACUACAAAAAGCCCCAAAAGCUGUUUGAA